UGGUUGUAAUUUUAUAUCAACAUCACGUGCUUUGCUUUUUUAAGCAACUCUUCCAUUUCGGUUUUUCUAACUUAAAUGUUCAGAAUAUUAUCAAACUGAUGAAUUCGUUCUUCAAAAAUUAAGUAUCAACUUCAGUUCCUGUUUGUACCAAAUCAUUAUACAUCAGAAGAGUCGAGUGUAUUUGCGCAAUGAGUCAAAUGGAUUGGAGUCGUAUAAUAUAAAUGUUUGGAUUCAGAGCCAAGAUCACAAUAUAUUAUUCCAAACUGAAACUAUUAAUUAAGAAUAAUUUUUUAGAUGUGCGUAGUUAUAAUGAAAUUGUUUAUAUUUAUUUAGUAUUACAAGGACUGAGAAUUCAAAUUUAAUUUCGAAAGUAUGAUUUCAAUAGUUUUUUCAGGUUGGAUCCUGCCUUCCUAAUCUGCAGCUAUUUUAAAAUUUGUAUUUUCCAAUCAUAGACAAAUAUACAUAUCAUCUGUGCUUCAAACCUACUCCGUGAGUAAAUACAUAUGACUCUGCAGACUCCCGCCUCACUCAUCAGCCAUAAUUAUAACUUCAUGGGAAUUAAACAAAAUCGAUACAGUCUCAAUGAGGUUUACAAUUCGUCUUAUUUCGGAACCAAAUAUAGUUAUCCCAAUGAAUGAAUUACAUUAUUAAUGCAACAUUAAUGGAA
rnacentral:lncRNA from 1 species